rnacentral:rRNA from 1 species
AUUGAACGCUGGCGGCAUGCUUUACACAUGCAAGUCGAACGAGUGGCUAACGGGUGCGUAAUAUAUCGGCACGUACCGAGUAAUGGGGGAUAACCAAUCGAAAGAUUGGCUAAUACCGCAUAUUAUUCCAGCGGCCGAAAACUGAUUAGCUAGGUGGUGGGGUAAAGGCCUACCACGGCGACGAUCAGUAGCGGGUCUGAGAGGACGUUCCGCCACACUGGGACGGAGACACGGCCCAGACUCCUGCGGAAGGCAGCAGUAGGGAAUUUUGGACAAUGGGGGCAGCCCUGAUCCAGCCAUGCCGAGUGUAUGAAGAAGGCCUUCGGGUUGUAAAGUACUUUUGUUAGGGAAGCGGUACCUAAAGAAUAAGCACCGGCUAACUACGUGCCAGCAGCCGCGGUAAUAC